CCCUUAGAUGUUCUGGGCUGCACGCGCGCUACACUGAUGCGAUCAACGAGUUUCUUCCUUUGUCGGUAGACAUGGGUAACCUUUUGAACUCGCAUCGUGAUGGGGAUAGAUUAUUGUAAUUAUUAAUCUUCAACGAGGAAUUCCUAGUAGGUGCAAAUCAUCAGUUUGCAUCGAUUACGUCCCUGCCCUUUGUACACACCGCCCGUCGCUGCUACCGAUUGGUUGAUCUGGUGAAUUAUUCGGACUGCCGGAUGAAGGGGUUUCCUCAUCUUCCAGCGGAAAGUCUUGUUAACCCUAUCAACUAGAGGAAGCAGAAGUCGUANCA
rnacentral:rRNA from 1 species